rnacentral:rRNA from 1 species
AUGGCGCAGAGGGCCGCGGGCGGCCUUCUCCGGCGGUCCAUCGGGCUCGCGCCGCCGUCAACCCCGAGGGCCCUGAGCACCAGCGCCACCACGCCGGCCGCGGCGGCGGAGGGAGAGGCGGCGGCCAAGGCGAGGAGAAACAAGAAGAAGAACCUAUUCGACGUGGCGCAGUUCCGGCCGGACUGGGGCGUCGGCUACAGGGUCGCCAAGACCACCUGGCGCGACGUCUCCUACCAGAUCACCAAGAUCAAUCUCUACAAGGUCACCAUCGCCACCAUCCAUAACAAUCUCUGUGUGCAAGCAGCCGACGCUCCGAUAAGAAUCAGCGGGGUUAACACACGUGGUUGGAAGUACAUAAAGGCUUCGUUGCAAGAUAUCCCUGGAGCAGAGCCGCCAGCCGUCACCGAUGCUUAG